rnacentral:rRNA from 1 species
UAAUACAGAGGUGGCAAGCGUUGUUCGGAAUUACUGGGCGUAAAGGGCGCGUAGGCGGCCUUCUAAGUCAGACGUGAAAUCCCCAGGCUUAACUUGGGAACUGCGUCUGAUACUGGGAGGCUUGAGUGCGGGAGAGGGAUGUGGAAUUCCAGGUGUAGCGGUGAAAUGCGUAGAUAUCUGGAGGAACACCGGUGGCGAAGGCGGCAUCCUGGACCGACACUGACGCUGAGGCGCGAAAGCUAGGGGAGCAAACGGGAUUAGAUACCCCGGUAGUCCUAGCCCUAAACGAUGAGUGCUUGGUGUGGCGGGUAUCGAUCCCUGCCGUGCCGAAGCUAACGCAUUAAGCACUCCGCCUGGGGAGUACGGUCGCAAGGCUG